CGGAUUGUAGUCUGCAACUCGACUACAUGAAGCUGGAAUCGCUAGUAAUCGCGGAUCAGAAUGCCGCGGUGAAUACGUUCCCGGGUCUUGUACACACCGCCCGUCACACCAUGGGAGUUGGGAAUGCCCGAAGCCGGUGACCUAACCGAAAGGGAGGAGCCGUCGAAGGCAGGCUUGAUAACUGGGGUGAAGUCGUAACAAGGUAAC
rnacentral:rRNA from 1 species